AUAGCUCAGUCGGUAGAGCAGCAGACUGAAAAUCUGCGUGUCGGCAGUUCGAUUCUGCCU
rnacentral:tRNA from 2 species